GGUAGUCCACGCCCUAAACGAUGUCAAGGAUGUCAAUUAGCUGGUUGAUGGUGAUCAUUUCCUUAGUCUCGUAGCUCACGCGUGAAGUUGACCGCCUGGGGAAACGGUCCCAAGAUUAAAACUCAAAGGAAUUGACGGGGACCCGCACAAGCGGUGGAUGAUGUGGAUUAAUUCCAUGCAACGCGAAAAACCUUACCUACCCUUGACAUCCACGGAACUUUCCAGG
rnacentral:rRNA from 1 species